rnacentral:rRNA from 1 species
UACGUAGGGUGCGAGCGUUAAUCGGAAUUACUGGGCGUAAAGCGUGCGCAGGCGGUAAUGUAAGACAGAUGUGAAAUCCCCGGGCUCAACCUGGGACCUGCAUUUGUGACUGCAUUGCUGGAGUGCGGCAGAGGGGGAUGGAAUUCCGCGUGUAGCAGUGAAAUGCGUAGAUAUGCGGAGGAACACCGAUGGCGAAGGCAAUCCCCUGGGCCUGUACUGACGCUCAUGCACGAAAGCGUGGGGAGCAAACAGG